CAGAGUUGCAAAACUCCCCAAACCAUCGCGAACGAUACCCAUAACCGUUGCCUCGGCGGGCGUCUCUCCCCCUGUGGGAGCCCCGCCGACGGCCCCCCCAAACUCUCUGUAUUUAUUUGGUCUCUCUGAGUUAUGAUACCAAAAAUCAGUUA
rnacentral:misc_RNA from 1 species